GAGACUGAUGUGUGCUCAUGCAUAUAUCAUGCAUCUUUCUGAAUGUGCCAUGAAGCACUCUGGCAGUCACCCCUUGUACUUGCUCAGUAAAGGGAGGUAGCUUUGUACUUCUGGUAGUGAUGGAGUUGUGGAUAUGGUUGUAAGAGAAAAAAAAAAAAAAAAAAAAAGAUCUUUUAGCUUAUCCCAUAAACAUACUUUGGUUUGCAUUUCAUUUAGGUUUAAUUUCUAUUAAAAAAAAAAGAAAAGAAAAGUCAUGUGUACUAAAAGGCAUGUGAUUGAGAAACUGAUCUAUCCACUUUAAACCCCCUAGGAAAGCUGAUCAAAAGUGGGAGAGCUGCAUGUCUAUUUUCUUCUUCAGAAAUCCCAGGAUAUUUGCUAAGCUCAUUUGUUACUCAUAUAUAGUGGCAUGUGAUUAUUAAUGUUAUCAUACUUAAUUUUCCGUUAUUAUUAUAAGGUAUUUUUCCCUUAAAUAUUUUAUUCAACAGUUUUACUGUAAAACAACAAAACUAAGAAAUUUGUGGGAAGAUGCUUGCUGCUGCUGUGCUAUCUUUUGGAGGGCUGCUCCCCCUUCCUUGGGGGCAGCAAUGCCAGUGUUUCUAGGAGAAGUCAGGCUCACAUCCAGGCUGAUGGAUGCUCUGAAGUCUCAAUGGUGUGACCACUGCCUUGGUUUCAGCAGGUUUUCAGUUUGUUCUUGGCUGCACGAACAUUUCUUGUGGAGCUGACUGCAGGACUGCAGAACCAGCACUGAGAGAAGCCCAAUUCAAAGGCUUUCCUCCUGAUGUGCACAGUGGAUUUAGAAAGCUGGGAGCCCAGGGGUUUUAUCUUGCUGGGAGGGAAAGCUUGGUGAGAUUUAUAGUGGGAGGGAAUCUGAGACCAAGAGAGUUCAGCUAAAGGAUCAAGCAAAGAGAACUCAGCAACCAAGUCCUUGUUCAGUAACACAACUGAAUUGUGAACGAUGGUGAGAAGACACUGAUUCAGCUCUUAGCUAAGAAGCUUCAUCUCCAGAAACACAAGCCCUCUCUGGCCACAAAAUCAUUGGUAAGCUUUAUCUUGGACCUUGUGAGGUUCAGCCCCUACUGACUGUAGCCUCUUUGCUAUUGCAGAAGUCAUACAGAUAUUGACUGAUAAUUUAUUUUUGUAGUCUCUCUUCUUUGGGCAGCAGGAUUAGGAAUAUAAUGAAUGAAAAACUGGAGAAAGGGG
rnacentral:lncRNA from 1 species